rnacentral:rRNA from 1 species
AACGAACGCUGGCGGCGUGCCUAACACAUGCAAGUCGAACGAGAAAGCUCUUCGGAGUGAGUAGAGUGGCGCACGGGUGAGUAAUACAUAGGAACGUGCCUCUUGGAUGGGGAUAACCCCGGGAAACUGUGGCUAAUACCGAAUAAGCUCGAGAGAGGAAAGGUGGCCUCUAUUUAUAAGCUAUCGCCGAGAGAUUGGCCUAUGUCCCAUUAGCUAGUUGGCGGGGUAAAAGCCCACCUAGGCUACGAUGGGUAGCUGGUCUGAGAGGACGAUCAGCCACACUGGAACUGAGACACGGUCCAGACUCCUACGGGAGGCAGCAGUGGGGAGUUUUGCACAAUGGGCGCAAGCCUGAUGCAGCAACGCCGCGUGAGUGAAGAAGGCCUUUGGGUUGUAAAGCUCUUUCGGCUGAGAAGAAGGGUUGCAGCGUGAAUAAUACUGCAAUUUGACGGUAUCAGAAGAAGAAGCACCGGCUAACCUCGUGCCAGCCGCCGCCGUAA